rnacentral:rRNA from 1 species
UACAGAGGUCUCAAGCGUUGUUCGGAUUCAUUUGGGCGUAAAGGGUGCGUAGGUGGCGCGCUAAGUCGGGUGUGAAAUUUCGGAGCUUAACUCCGAAACUGCAUUCGAUACUGGCGUGCUUGAGGACUGGAGAGGAGACUGGAAUUCAUGGUGUAGCAGUGAAAUGCGUAGAGAUCAUGAGGAAGACCAGUGGCGAAGGCGGGUCUCUGGACAGUUCCUGACACUGAGGCACGAAGGCCAGGGGAGCAAACGGG